rnacentral:rRNA from 1 species
CCUCGGGAGGCAGCAGUGGGGAAUAUUGGACAAUGGGCGCAAGCCUGAUCCAGCCAUACCGCGUGUGUGAAGAAGGCCUUCGGGUUGUAAAGCACUUUAAGUAAGGAAGAAAAGAGUAUUGCUAAUACCAAUACUCCGUGACAUUACUUACAGAAUAAGGACCGGCUAAUUCCGUGCCAGCAGCCGCGGUAAUACGGAAGGUCCAAGCGUUAAUCGGAAUUACUGGGCGUAAAGCGCGCGUAGGUGGUUUAUUAAGUUGGGUGUGAAAGCCCCGGGCUCAACCUGGGAACUGCAUCCAAAACUGAUUCACUAGAGUACGAAAGAGGAAAGUAGAAUUCACAGUGUAGCGGUGGAAUGCGUAGAUAUUGUGAAGAAUACCGAUGGCGAAGGCAGCUUUCUGGUUCUGUACUGACACUGAGGUGCGAAAGCGUGGGUAGCGAACAGGAUUAGAUACCCUGGUAGUCCACGCCGUAAACGAUGACAACUAGCUGUUGGGAAGCUAUGCUUUUCAGUGGCGCAGCUAACGUCUUAAGUUGUCCGCCUGGGGAGUACGGCCGCAAGGUUAAAACUCAAAUGAAUUGACGG